UUCAGGCGGCAAACCUAUCAAUUGUUUGUUCCCAUACUGUAAAUGGUGUUUCAAAAGUACAUUUUGAGUUAUUAAAGACCAAGGUGUUCAAGGACUUCUAUGAGCUGUGGCCUGAGAAAUUUCAGUACAAGACAAAUGGUGUAACUCAGCGACAAUGGAUUGUAGUAAGCAAUCCCAGUCUUUGUGAUCUUAUCACAAAAUGGCUUGGAACAGAAGCUUGGAUUCGCAAUGUUAACCUUCUAACUGGCCUCCGAGAAUGUGCGACAGAUGCAGAUCUGCAGCAAGAAUGGAAGAUGGUACCUUCUAGCUAAGAUCACAAGCAUUGAUGCAAAAGUAAUGUGUUAACAUGUUCUGGCCAUUUCACAUUGUAGGUUAGGAGGGUUAAUAAAAUGAGGCUUGCAGAAUACAUUGAAGGGCUGAGUGGUUUA